rnacentral:rRNA from 1 species
AUUGAACGCUGGCGGUAUGCUUAACACAUGCAAGUCGAACGGUAACAGGUCUUCGGAUGCUGACGAGUGGCGGACGGGUGAGUAACGCGUAGGAAUCUGCCUUAUAGUGGGGGACAACUUGUGGAAACGCAAGCUAAUACCGCAUACGCCCUACGGGGGAAAGGAGGGGAUCUUCGGACCUUUCGCUAUGAGAUGAGCCUGCGUUAGAUUAGCUAGUUGGUGGGGUAAAGGCCUACCAAGGCGACGAUCUAUAGCUGUUCUGAGAGGAAGAUCAGCCACACUGGGACUGAGACACGGCCCAGACUCCUACGGGAGGCAGCAGUGGGGAAUAUUGGACAAUGGGCGAAAGCCUGAUCCAGCAAUACCGCGUGUGUGAAGAAGGCCUUAGGGUUGUAAAGCACUUUCAAUUGGGAGGAAAAAAAUUAAGCUAAUACCUUAAUUCUUGACAUUACCUUUAGAAGAAGCACCGGCUAACUCCGUGCCAGCAGCCGCGGUAACAC